CAAGGAAUAUUGUGCAAUGGGCGAAAGCCUGACACAGCGACGCCGCGUGAGGGAUGAAGACCUUCGGGUUGUAAACCUCUUUUGCCAGGGACGAAUAAUGACGGUACCUGGCGAAUAAGUCUCGGCCAACUACGUGCCAGCAGCCGCGGUAAUACGUAGGAGGCAAGCGUUAUCCGGAUUUAUUGGGCGUACAGAGAGUGUAGGCGGCUCGUCAAGUCGAACGUAAAAUCUUCCGGCUUAACUGGAAGGGACCAUUUGAUACUGACGGGCUGGAGUGUAGUAGAGGAAAGCGGAAUUCCCGGUGUAGUGGUGAAAUGCGUAGAUAUCGGGAGGAACACCAGUGGCGAAGGCGGCUUUCUAGGCUGCAACUGACGCUGAGGCUCGAAAGCGUGGGGAGCGAACAGG
rnacentral:rRNA from 1 species